rnacentral:rRNA from 1 species
CAGCAGCCGCGGUAAUCCGUGGGUGGCGAGCGUUAUCCGGAAUUAUUGGGCGUAAAGGGCCCGCAGGCGGCACAUUAAGUCAGGUGUGAAAUCUCCCGGCUCAACUGGGAGGGGACACUUGAAACUGAUGAGCUUGAGGACAGCAGGGGGAAGCGGAACUCCCGGUGUAGCGGUGAUAUGCGUAGAUAUCGGGAGGAACACCAGUGGCGAAGGCGGCUUCCUGGGCUGUUUCUGACGCUGAGGGGCGAAAGCGUGGGGAGCAAACCGGAUUAGAUACCCGGGUAGUCCACGCCGUAAACGAUGGAUACUAGGUAUGGGGGGUAUCGACCCCUCCCGUGCCGACGCUAACGCUAUAAGUAUCCCGCCUGGGGACUACGGCCGCAAGGCUAAAACUCAAAGGAAUUGACGGGGGCCCGCACAAGCAGCGGAGCGUGUGGUUUAAUUCGACGAUACGCGAAGAACCUUACCAAGACUUGACAUCGUAAUGCUAGCCUGGGAAACCAGGUGUCCCUUCGGGGCGUUAUGACAGAUGCUGCAUGGCUGUCGUCAACUCGUGCCGUGAGGUGUUGGGUUAAGUCCCGCAACGAGCGCAACCCUUGUCGCUAGUUGAUUUCUCUAGCGAGACUGCCCCGCGAAACGGGGAGGAAGGUGGGGAUGACGUCAAGUCAGCACGGCUCUUACGUCUUGGGCUACACACACGCUACAAUGGGUGGUACAGAGGGUUGCGAAGGAGCGAUCUGGAGCUAAUCCCACAAAGCCAUCCUCAGUUCGGAUUGCAGGCUGCAACUCGCCUGCAUGAAGUCGGAGUUGCUAGUAAACGCAGGUCAGCAAUACUGCGUUGAAUACGUUCUCGGGCCUUGUACACACCGCCCGUCACGUCAUGAAAGUUGGAAACACCUGAAGUCGAUGGGCUAACCCGUAAGGGAGGCAGUCGCCCAAGGUGGGGCUAGCGAUUGGGACGAAGUCGUAACAAGGUAACCGUA